rnacentral:lncRNA from 1 species
CAAAAGUAGACCGGAAUUAGUUCCUAGAUCUGGAGCAGGGAAGUUAUCUAAAAACACCAACUUUCGUUAAAAGAAAGCAGCGACCUCCUCUGGCGUUCACCCCCGAAGGAAAAAGGAAUUUGAGAAACUGGCGCCCCCCAAUAGAUGUAUAAUCGGCUCUCAGUGCAUGCUUCUUAGAGCUUUCUAGAAGACAACCAGCUGACUUUUCCAACGGAACUCCACAGUUGGUACCACAAAUUUGCAUUCCGGUCGUUUCUACGAAAGACCACCUGACGUAAUUUUAGGCUCAUGCUUUUCUGUGGAAGGACAGAAUUACUGGGGCGCAGGUCCCCAAUAACAGAUAAAAAUACUUAUGAACAAAAUCGUUUAGUGUCAGGUCGCUGUUUUGUUUUGUUUUUGGAAAUACAGACCAAUCACUGAGCUUUCCCAUUAAAAGAGUCAAUACGUGCAAAGCAAGUAGAACAGCGAGCUCCUGGUAAGAAUAAGC